CAUGGGUCUGGUUGGGCCCGCAGACUCGGAGUGCGGGCCUGACCAGUCUCAAGAC
rnacentral:pre_miRNA from 1 species